AAAUUACCAGGGUAGAAAUUUAAAAGGAGAAGGAGUUGUCUGUGGACGUAAUGGCCCUGUUCAAGUGGAAAUGCUCAGAAAAACACUGGCCAGGGUACAUGAAGGCAGCAUUUUUUUCUUGCUGUUUCAGUUAAACGAAUCAAUGGGAAGGAACGAGAAACAAAUGAGGAAGAAAAAGGGAGGGAUAUAGAAAGGAUGAAGGCUGGGACAGAGGAAGAGGAAAAGCAGAGACAUUAGGAAGCUCUCAGCUUCAGAUUUAAACCAGAGCCUUUAUUCUGAGUUGAGUUUUAAAAAGGCAAGAGAACAGAGGAUGAUCAACUGUUUAGAGGGUGAGAGACCUUGACGAGGAAUAAGGGGAUGUUGAG